ensembl:snRNA U6 U6 spliceosomal RNA
GUGCUCACUUCAGCAGCACAUAUAUUACAGUUGGAACGAUAGAGAAGAUUUGCAUGGCCCCUGUGCAAGGAUGACAUACAAAUUCGUGAAGUGUUCCAUAUUUAA